CAUGGCUCUGGCAAAAGACAUCAUCUCACCUUUUGACUGCAAGAACAUCCUGAGGGUUGCCCUUCCAGAUGUUCUCACUGUCAUGGCGAAAGAGAAGUCAAAAGAGAAGCAGGUCUUGACAAGUCAGGAGCAGCUCUGAUGCUGGAGCAUCUUCAACGGACUGGUGUUAUUGAACACAUGACUGUAUCCGAAUGGCUAGAAAGGAGAAAGGUAAAAAAGGAUGGAAAAGACUAUGUGAUAGUUGGUGUCAAGGAGCACAAAACAGAUACCAUCCAGGUGGCUACAUUCGCCCGUAUUCCUCAGCAGGAGAUGGUCUGUUUCAAACAUGUUGUUAUCAACAUCAUCCACAACAGUACCAGCAGACACAGCAUGUGCAGACUCUACACAAAUGGAGGAUCAGGUCACCUAUGACAAAUUCAUUAAGCACAUUUCUCUAGGAGGCAGCCAACACACAGAUGCAUUGGGAAUUGGAUUGCAAAACAAGGCUGGGUGGUCAACAUACCUGACCCUGAAGUAGUGCUUAGUUCAUGGGUGCCUGCUGAAAAGUUUAAUAAUGCAGUAUCUGAUGAUUAUGUUCAAAGUUUGGUGCUGUCUCAGAAGUGGAAAGGACUGGCAGUUGUCACGUUUGAGGGGAAGGGCAAAGGUGUAAUGACCACAAGGCCAUUCUUCAAGGGUGAAGUAGUCUGCGACUACUAAGGUGAGGUUGUCACACGAGCAGAAGGUCUAAAUCUCCACCUUUCUGCUGAGGAAAGCGAGAUUGGAUACAUGUUUUCUUUUUUAAAGAGUGCGGGGUUCCCAAAUGCAUCAAUGCAAGAUCACCUGUCUGUGCCUGCCAUCCAGAAAGGACUACAUUUGGCCGAUACAUUAACCAUUCUACCAGCAAUCCCAACCUCAAUGCACAAUUGACAUGUCAGGCAACAAGAACCCUGCAAUUCUCUUCUAUGCCACAAUGGACAUUAGGGUGAACAAAGAACUGAAGUUUGACUAUGGGGUGAAACGGCAAUCGUUUGUCGUGGAAGGGUUGGACCUUGACUGGCUAUAGUAUUUAUAAGCCAAGUAAUUGUGUUUCUUUCUAUUUUCAUUACUGUAAAGUAACCAGUAA